ACGGAGGAUGCGAGCGUUAUCCGGAUUUAUUGGGUUUAAAGGGUGCGUAGGCGGCAUUAUAAGUUAGUGGUAAAAUAUUGGGGCUUCACCUCACUACGCCAUUAAUACUGUAGAGCUAGAGAACAGACGAGGUAGGCGGAAUAAGUUAAGUAGCGGUGAAAUGCAUAGAUAUAACUUAGAACACCGAUAGCGAAGGCAGCUUACCAGACUGAGUCUGACGCUGAUGCACGAGAGCAUGGGUAGCGAA
rnacentral:rRNA from 1 species